rnacentral:rRNA from 1 species
AACGAACGCUGGCGGCAUGCCUAACACAUGCAAGUCGAACGAGAACUUCGGGUCUAGUGGCGCACGGCUGCGUGCCGCGGGGGAACCUGCACUUAGGUUCGGUGUCACUCCCCGAGGGAGGUCCUAAUACCGGAUAAUGUCUUCGGACCAAAGAUGUUUCGCCGUUGGCUGGGCCCGGGUUGGUUUCGCUGGUUGGUAGUGUACAAGCCUGCCAAGGCGACGAUCCAUGGCUGGUCGGAGAGCAUGCUCAGCCGCACUUGGACUGAGGCACGGCCCAGACUCCUACGGGAGGCAGCAGUGGAUAAUAUUGGACGAGGGGCCAUAGUCUGAUACAGCAAUGCCGCGUGAGUGAUGAAGGCCGUAGUGUUGUAAUGUCCUUUUACCCGAGAUGAUAAUGACAGUACCGGGAGAAUAAGCACCGGCUAACUCCGUG